CACCCCUUGGUGAAGAUAUGCUAUAAGGGCACGGUUUAGUACUCUCCGAAAGGAGCGCAGGAAACACCGUGAGGCAAAAGGAG
rnacentral:ncRNA from 1 species